rnacentral:rRNA from 1 species
CCCUUAGAUGUUCUGGGCCGCACACGCGCUACACUGAAGGAGGCAGCGUGUACUCCUGGAUCGAAAGAUUUGGGUAACCCGCGAAUCUCCUUCGUGCUAGGGAUUGAGGUUUGCAAUUAUCCUUCAUGAACGAGGAAUUCCCAGUAAGUGCAAGUCAUAAGCUUGCGCUGACUACGUCCCUGCCCUUUGUACACACCGCCCGUCGCUACUACCGAUUGAAUGAUUUAGUGAGGACUUCGGACUGGGACCGAUGCGGCUUUCGGGCUGCGUCGGUAUUCUGGAAAGAUGUCCAAACUGUAUCAUUUAGAGGAAGAAAAAGUCGUAACA